GCGACCCCAGGUCUGGCGAUAUUACCUACAAAUUUUAAGCAUAUCAGUAAGCAGAGGAAAAUAAACUUACAAGGAUUCCCUUAGUAACGGCGAGCAAACCGUGAAUAGCCCAGCCUUAGAAUCGGGCAACUCCAUCAUCUGAAUUAUAGUUGGAGAAGCAUCCUCAGAGGCGGACAAGGCCCAAGUCCUCUAGAAGAGGGUACCAGAGAGGGUGAGAGUUUUGUUGUGCCUGGACUCUAGCACACCAUAAGGUAUAAGCUACGAGUUGGGUUGUUUGGGAAUGCAGCCCAAAUCGGGCAGUGAAUUUCGUCCAAGGCUAAAUACGGGCGAGAGACCGAUAGCAAACAAGUACCGUGAUGGAAAAAUGAAAAGGACUUUGAAAAAAGAGUCAAAGAGUGUAUAAAAUUAUCGAUAGGGAAGCGUAUGGAGGUUGGUGAUGCGCCCCAGUCAGAUGUGGAACGGCGAUGAGCUGUUUCGCCAAUCGACUUAGGGCAUGGACCAACAUGGAUUGGGGGGGGCUGCCAAAGCCUGAGCUAUAAAUACAUUCGUGGAAUGCGGUUUCCUUAAUUUUGGCAGGCAGUGCGCCCCUAUGGUGUUCUUCGACAUCUGCUCGCUUCAGAUGCUGGCCUAUGGAAUCCCCGUUGGACCCGUCUUUAAACAUAAACCAAAGAUUUUAACAUGUGUGCGGGUGAACCGGCGAGUAGAAACGUAAGGAAUAAGGAAGUUGAUUGGUGGGAUCCCCCUGAGGGGUGCACCGCUGACCGACCUUGAUUUUCAAAGAAGGGUUCGAGUGUGAGAAUACCUUUUAGGACCCAAAAGAUGUUGAACUAUGCCUAAGAGGGGCGAAGCCAGAGAAAACUCUGGCGGAGUCCUGCAGUGAUACUGACGUGCAAAUUAUUCUUCUGACUUGGGUGUAGGGGCAAAAUACUAAUCGAAUUGUCCAGUAGAUAAUUCCCUUUGAAGUUUCCCUCAGGAUAGUUGGAGCUCGCGUGCGAAUUCUCUCAGGUAAAGCCAAUGAUUAGAGGCAUCAGGGGCGCAACUUCCUCAACCUAUUCUCAAACUUUAAAUAGGUAGGAUGGCGUGACUUCUUUGUUGAGCCGUACCAUGGAAUGAAGAGCUCCAAGUGCACCAUUUUUGGUAAGAAGAACUGGCGAUUUGGGAUGAACUAAAAGCUGGGUUACGAUGCCAAAUUGUACACUAACCUAGAUCCCACAAAGGGUAUAGGUCAAUUAAGACAGCAGGAUGGUGGUCAUGGAAGUUAAAAUCCGCUAAGGAGUAUGUAACAACUCACGUACCAAAUCAACUAGCCCUGAAUAUAGAUGGCUCUUAAGAGCGCGACCUACACCCAUCCAUCAGGGCAUGUGCCAAGCCCAGAUGAGUAGGAGGGAACGGCGGUCAUUGCAAAAACCUUAGGCGUAAGCCUAGGUGAAGCAGCCGUCAGUGCAAAUCUUUGUGGUAGUAGAAAAUAUUCAAAUUAGAAAUUUAAAGGCUGAAGAGGGGAAAGGUUCCAUGUCAACAGAACUUGUACAUGGGUUAGUCAAUCCUAAGGGUCGGGGGAACCCCGAUAGAUAGCGUAUUUCGCGCGUAAUCUGAAAGGGAAUUGGGUUAAAAUUCUUGAACCGACAGGUGGAGGUUCAUGUCAAUAUUAUGAAGUCCGAAAAUGUUGGUGGGAGCCUCGGGAAAAGAUAUCUUUUCUAUUUAACAGCCUUCCCACCUUGAAAUUAGCUCAGUUGGAGGUAGGGUCCAGCGGCUUGAAGAGCAUCACACAUUGCGUGAUGUUUGGUGUGCUCCCGGUGGCCUUUGAAAAUCCAGAGAAACGAAUGUCGUCCACGCCCGAUCAUACUUUUAACCACAUCCGAUCUCCAAGGUAAACAUUCUCUGCUCGAUGGAACAAUGUAUGUAAGAAAAGUUAGAAAAAUAGAUCCGUAACUUUAGGAAAAGGAUUGGCUCUAAGGGAUAGGCACAGGAGUCCCAGUCCAGAACUCGUCGGCUGUCGAUGGACUACUCAAGCUGCUUCCAUGAUGAGAGCGGGUCACAGCGGGCUGGCAGAGGGGGUCUGGUAAUGGUUCCUUUGAUGGCCUUCCCCGCGCAUCGAACAACCAACUCAGAAUUGGUAUGGUCAAGGGGAAUUUGACUAUUUAAUUAAAAAAAAACAUUGCUAUGGUCCCAACGCAUGUUAACGCAAUGUGAUUUUUUUCUAGUGCUCUGAAUGUCAAAGUGAAGAAAUUUAACCAAGCAUGGGUAAACGGCGGGAGUAACUAUGACUCUCCUAAGGUAACCAAAUGCCUCAUCAUCUAAUUAGUGACACGCAUGAACAGAUUAAUAAGAUUCCCACUGUCCUUGUCUACUAUCCAGUGAAACCACAGCCAAGGGAAUGGGCUUGGCAGAAUCAGCGGGGAAGGAAGACUCUGUUGAGCUUAACUCUAGUCCGACUUUGUGAAGUGAAUUGAGAGGUGUAUUAUAAGUGGGAGCCGAAAGGGGAAAGUGAAAGGCUACUUUUAAAGUUAUUUUACUUAUUCUGUGAAUCUGAAGCGGGGCACUGCCCCUCUUGUUUUACCCAAGGCUUGCUCUGCGGGCUGAUUCAAGCAGAAUACAUUGUUAGGCAGGGAAUUUCAUUGGGGUGGCACAUCUAUUAAAAGAUAAUGCAGGUGUCCUAAGAUGAGCUCAACAAGAACAAAAAUCUCGUGUGGAACAGAAGGGCAAAAACUCAUUUGAUUCUGAUUUCCAGUACGAAUACAAAUUGUGAAAGCGUGGCCUAAAAAUACUUUAAACCUUCAAAAGUUGAAGAUAGAGGUGUUAGAAAAGUUACCACUGGGAUAACUGGCUUGCGGCAGCCAAGCAUUCAUAGCGACGUUGCUUUUUGACCCUUCGAUGUCAGCUCUUCCUAUCAUUCUGAAGCAGAAUUCACCAAAUGUUGAAUUGUUCACCCACUAAUAGGGAACGUGAGAUGGGUUUAGACCAUUGUAAGAUAGGUUAGUUUUUCCCUACUGAUGACAGUGUCGCAAUAUUAAUUCAAUCUAGUACAACAGGAACCGUUCAUUAACACAAUUGGUUAUCGCGCUUAGUUCAAAAGCCAGUGGCGCAAAGCUACCAUUUGCUAGAUUAUGAUUGAACGCCUCUAAGUCAGAAUUCGGGCUAUAAGCAAUGCAUAUGCCCGCCGUCCACUUGCCGACUUGCAGUAGGGGCCAUGGCCUCCAAGGGCACGUGUCGUUGGCUAAGCCAUCACAAUAGAAGGAUCACGGUGGCUGUCUUAAAGUAAAAUUUCCAUCGAGCGGUGGGUAGAAUCCUUUACAGAAGACUUAAAUACAUGAUUGGGUAUUGUAAGUGGUAGAGUGGCCUUGCUGCCACGAUCCACUGAUAUUAAACCCUUUUUCACUCCGGUUCAG
rnacentral:rRNA from 1 species